GUAAGAUAUAUGCAAAUUUUGUACAUGUUGGAUAUAAUUUGAUUUGUAUUUUCAUCCUUCAUGUAAUUACAGUCAAUUGAACACAAAUUUUACUUGAAGGCAAGGACAUUAAUUUUGUGAAAUGAAUACAUGAGUUCUGAAUUAUGUAGGUUUUUGUUUUGUUACUCAUCUAAGCAUCACUGGCCAUCAGCAGAUGGCCCCGACCUGAGCAAUAAUAAUGAAAUUGAAUCUUUUGCUAUUUUGCUUUCAGUCAUAUAAAAACCAUAUGUUUACAUCUAGUUUAAUUUUGUUGUUAUGAAGGAAUAUUUGUCAAAUAGCAACAAAUUUGUUAAAGAGAAAAAAUAUUUUAUUAAGAGCCUGUGAGCUUGACUGAAAACUUUGAAGUGUUUGUACCUAAGGGAUCAGCGCCUUGUGUGUGCUCUUGCUUCAGGCCCUGCGGAAGUCAGAGCCCGCUGUGACCACAGCUUUCCUUCCCUUGUGGUCCCCAAAGGCCAUGCAGCGCUUGGGUCUGGCCAGUCGUCAGCUCUCGCCACUGCCACAUUGACUGGCUGGCCGGCAGCAUUCAGUCAAUGUCGGUUCAAUGCUCCUUGCAUCGUAAGUCAGUGCUCCGCUCUCUCUCUAAAUCUCAGGUCCCUCAUUCGUAGGAGACGGCUUCAGUAGCAACGGGGGAAAUGUCACAGUGCCUUUCAUCCCAUCCUUUCCUCUUUUAAAUCAGCAAGAUGAAAAAAAUGGGUUCCAGUAAAGUGCUUUGUGACUUUAUUAUUAGUCUAUUUGAAGCCCUCUCUGUUUUCUUCCUCUUCCUCGCCCCCUCUUCCCCUCCUGUGCUCUUCUGCCUCCUCUUUUUCUUCUUCCUGUUCUGUUUCCUCCUCCUCUCCUUCCUCCUUCAUUUUAGCGAGGAAAGACUUCUCUCGGUAACCAUACUAGCAUGUCUUUCACUUUCUCAACGCCCUUGUCUCUCUUCAGCAAUGCCUGUUUUGCUCAAACCUGAAGCGUCAAAAUUUUUUUGAAUCUGACUUUCUGCCAGAAUUCUUUAAGUAGAUCAACUCCUUUUAUUCUCUAACAUUUUAAAACUCAUUUGCACAGAAGAGAAUUGGAAGGUCUUAAAGUACAGUUGUCCCGUGGUUCCUCACAACCUACUAAGAGUGUUGUUCCAGUUGACAGCGUUUUAAAUCCAGUAAUGAGAGAAGUUCGUCCUUUCAUAUAAAUAUCAUAGGGAUGAAUAAAGAGUCUGGAAGUACUAUUAUUGCAAUUUCUACUGGAUAUUUAGGUAAGAAUCUUGUCUCAAUAUGUUGCCCUUUGAUAAUUUUCUAUCUACUUGGCUUGUUCAGCAAGUGGAGAGCAAGUGGGUUUCCCAUAUCAUUCUGGGACAAGCUACCCCUCAUUUGUUGCUGUCAUACUCACCCCACGUUUCCACAAAUUACUCUGUGUUAGGCAAGAUGAUUUCCAAGAUAGGUAGUCUAGACUAUAAUUAAAACUAAUAUUUUUUUCACUCUAUAAAUUUAGCAGUUUAUUUCUUGAAACUAUCCUAUUUCUCUUCAACAUGGCUCUAGGGAAAUAAGCCACAAGUGCCACAUUUUUCUCUGUGGUUUUCUCAGGCAUCGUGGCCAUCCUCAUACGCAGUAUUGUGGUUUACAACAGUUCCAGACCCAGGCUGGGUGAUGGUGGUGGGUAUCAGAAAGUCUUCAUGGCCGUAAACCCAUUUAAGUAAAUUAAUAAAAUUUAUUUGAUAAGAAGUGAAACGUCUUAAAAAUUACCAGGGCCAAACUACCAAAGUCCCAGCCUAUUCUUAUGUCUAAUUUGAUGGAACAAUCUAGAAUCUGAAAAGCACUGGGUGCUUUCUUGACAGCUUACCUCUGCCGUGAGUUGGAAGUAACCUAAGAUGGGUUCCACAAUGAGGACUUUAAAGUGUCUGUAGGGAAAUGUGGAGUUAAGUAGGUGCAGAGUUGCAACAUUCUUCCAGACUGUUUUAUUUAUAUUUUUAAGCACUUACCACAGACAUAUAGUUAGCAAUGUAUAUCUUUGUCCCUCCCAUUAGUUUGCAAAUCCCUAUUGUUCACUGUUGUGUCACAAAGCCAGGGUCCUGAGAAGGUAUUUGGGGAAUGAAAGGUCUGGGACUGCCCCAUGAUGUCCUCUUGCUCCCAGUUCUGCCCGUACGAUUGCUCAGUACUCUUAGGCUGUAACCCAUUUUUCUUUGGACAAUGAUCACAUUUUGUUGUCUUAGGAGGUGUGGCAAAGAUUCUCUCACGUGCUUAUUUAACAGACCCUAAAGGCCUGGAGACUCCCAGCUGUGUGAGUUUUGAUUAUGCAGAGCACAUCUUGUAACUUUUAAGGCACUUGGCUUUCAGCAAACCUGGGUACCGCCCCUCUCCUCCUUUGGGACGAUAAAAAUAAUAAUGAUAACCACAAUGAAACUUACCGAUGCUUGCACUACAUGCCAGACAUUGGGUUAAGUGUAUCAUAUGCAUUAUCAUAUUUAUUCCUUCCAACAAUACCGUGAGAUCCCUAUCAUUCCUAUCUCCAUUUUACAGAUGAGGAAACUGAGGUGCUGAAAGGCUAAAUAGCUUAUUUGAGGUCUCCCAGCUACAGAGAGGUGGAGAGAGAAUAAGACAGCCCGUCUGCCUCCUCUUAGUCUUUUCACUCUCCAGGGGUAAAUAUAUUAGAUCAUCCAUUAUGAAGCAAUUGAGGAGAUCAAGAAAUACUCCAAGGCAGAUUUUGUUGCCUUUUGAGUCCUUAAUCAUUCUUUCAAACUUUCCAGUUGGCAUGGCUCUCUGCUCAUAAAAAGAUGUUUCAUUUACUGAAACGUGACUCCAGAAGUCUUAUGAAUGCAGCCAGCACAUAGUGGGUAAGAAGGAGUUAAAGAGCCGACAGGCCUUCCUGUGUGGGUCCAGCCAGCAGCCGUUCGUCACAGAUGCGGGGGACUUUGAUCCUGACAGCUUCCCUUUCACUCAGGGGCGGCAGGGAGGUUUGACCUGGGGAAGCAGGAAAGACGAGAGAGAAAAAGGUCUUGUUUGUUUCCUGGGUGGAUUGCCUCCUCUUGGCAUGCCUCCAGGAAGCGAGUCUUUUCCUGCCCUGAAACUUCAGGGAAAUAAAUCUCUCUCCUGUAGAACAAACCUGAGAGAGGCCCCAGGGCAGCUGCCUUAGAGCUGUCAGGUCCAGGGACUUGGCCUCAGGCUGGCCAGUGUGCAGCCUGGCAGGUUGCAGCCCCUGGCUGGGGCUGGAGGUGGGGGGAUGUCCACAUGACCCAGAGAAGGGAAGAGGGAUGCUAGCGAGGUCUUUGAUCCCAAGGGCCAGAAGCCAGUGUGGGCACCCAUGGGGAUAGAGGUGUUCUGAGACUGAUCCUCUGCGGAAUGACACCUAGGAGAAGGGGCAAUUUUGAGAGCGUUUCUAGAGGGCAGCCUGGGGGCCAAGCGUGAGGGAGACCGAGCCCAGCACUGCAGAGGCUAACACAAGACUCUCGCAUGCAGAACCGGAGAGAGGAACAGGAAGUGUAGUGGAUGCAAGCCCAUGAGAACCAGCCCCAGCAUUAAGAGCAAGAGCAAGCGCAGGGAGAGCUGGGGGGCGGGGGGAGUGAUGUCCUUCCAAUUGACAUAUGUCAUUUCUUGCAGCCUGGGAUCCUUGACUGUGAUUUUUGUAACUGUGUCCUGGUUCCUGUCUGUAGAAUUUAACCCAUGCGGUUUGAACAAGGUGAUCCACCUCCCAGCUCUGGUCGACGCAGGCUGAAAAAAGGAAACUUAAAGAGUGUCUGCUAUGGUAAUUCACUGCUGCGAUCCCUCAGGGUUCUGGAAUUGUCUGCUUCCUGAAGAGUUUGCUGCUCACGGACUCCAACGUCCAGAUGCCUGAGGGGACUUUCUCGAGGCUACAGAUGUACUCUCAGCGCCUGCCCUGGAAAAGGCACAACUGCACGU